UGCUCGUGGAAAAAAUUGAAA
rnacentral:siRNA from 1 species